UUUAAAAAUAGGGAGGAUGGCUGACAACGUGCUGACAAAAUCCCGGGCAAAAUUUCCACUUCAGUCUCACUCAAUCACCCGAGCUGGCAGCAAGUCCUCUUCUGCGGCUGGCAGCUUGCAUCUCCCAUUAGUCCCUAGAUUCUGACUAUUCAUGCUUCUUCUGGGGCCCAUUCUCUGUUCUGGAAGUUUUCUUGGGCAAGAUUCAUUUUAAGAUGAUACUGGUUCCUAUUAGGUGUGUAGGAAAUACGCACUCUUGCAGCCUGUUCCUGAGACACCUUCUUUACUCACAGGUCCUGCCUGGGAACUCUGGCAUCUCAGUUUAGGAUGAAGAGACUUUUGACAUCUCUCUUGAUAAUACUCACAAACAGAAGCCUAAAGCUGUUUUCACAGACUCCCUGGCUCCUUUUCCACUGUGGCUUUCCCCAGGGAGGGGAAUUUUCACUCCUCUCAGAAGACUCCAAAGGCCGUUGGAGGUUGUUUUUUUCCAUCUGGCUUUUCCGCUUUCAACCUUGUUACAAAACUGAAGUCAACAUUUUCACAGCUUGUCAAUGGAAACCUGAUUAUGCCUCCUCAUCUCAAGAAGAAAACAUAAAAUUGAUUUGAAUAGAGGACAAGAUGGUACAGAAAA